rnacentral:rRNA from 1 species
UACAGAGGUCCCAAGCGUUGUUCGGAUUCACUGGGCGUAAAGGGUGCGUAGGCGGUCGGGUAAGUCUGAUGUGAAAUCUCACAGCUUAACUGUGAAACUGCAUUGGAUACUAUUCGGCUUGAGAGUUGGAGGGGGGGCUGGAAUUCUCGGUGUAGCAGUGAAAUGCGUAGAUAUCGAGAGGAACACCAGUGGCGAAGGCGAGUCCCUGGACAACUUCUGACGCUGAGGCACGAAAGCUAGGGGAGCAAACAGG